AAAUUGGAAAGGGCUUGAGAUCACAAUGAUGCUGAACUUGAAUCCAGUUCUUCUUUCUCUGGGAAAAGAUGGUUGUAACUCGAGUAAUCAUGUGCCUUUGGUAUAUCCAAAGAAAAAGACUGAAACAAGCUACCACUGACCAAGAAACGUAGCACUCGCAUAGAAGCCCCAAUAUAUCCACAGGAGGAGGAUCUUGAAUAAACCAGACGCUCUUGAUUUAACGGUAGGUAAAUGUUUUAGCAAUAAUUAUUUUAAAAGCCACAAUAAUUGCCACCGAAAGUUACUUUUGGUUUAGUGGUGGAUAUUGUUUACGUGUACGAGCGAUGAACUUAAACAAUGA
rnacentral:sRNA from 1 species